CCCCUAGUAACGGCGAGUGAAGAGGGAAAAGCCCAGCACCGAAGCCUGCGGUAGUUUUACUGCUAGGCAAUGUGGUGUUUGGGUCGGCUGGCGGGACUGCCACUCCAUUCGAAGUCCAGCAUUGAGUAUGGUACCCUGGAUUUGGCCCAUAGAGGGUGAAAGGCCCGUACGAAUGGAUGUUUCAGACAUGAAAGGCAGUUCAUCAGGCCGACCUUCGAGUCGGGUUGUUUGAGAAUGCAGCCCAAAGCGGGUGGUAAACUCCAUCCAAGGCUAAAUACCAACACGAGUCCGAUAGCGAACAAGUACCGUGAGGGAAAGUUGAAAAGUACUCUGAAGAGAGAGUAAACAGUACGUGAAACCGUAUAAAGGUAAACGGGUGGCGUCAAGCUGCAAGCCUGGAGGAUUCAGCUGGUCAUCAUGUAGUGUAUACGUCCUGUGUAUUUCAGUCGGUAAUAGGCGAGUAGUCCACUGGGUAACGGUGGGCCCGACCGCAAGGUUGGGAUGUAUGUGCCACACGGUUGGUGGUGUACGCUGCUCAACUAUUGGACUGGAUGGCCAGUGCACUUCCUCCGUUAAGGUGAACACCACGACCGGUGGAACUGCCAGUCUGGUAUGGUCAAGUUGUGUCCAAUUGUGCUUUCGGGUGCAUUGGAUGCAAUCACAGGCAAAUUCGGUGGACGGUGAGUAGGUUUCGGCUUGCUCAUGUUAUCGGUCAUCGGUUGUCAACGGGUCUGUCUGUCAGCGUUUGCAGUAUCUGGCGGAUGAUCUGGUGGACCAUACUGGUAAGAAUAACUGUGCAGGGCACCGGAGUUAUCGGUCUCAAAUUCCGACUGGCGCAUGCGCUGCAAGUGUGUGUGGAGAUGUCAUUGCGGCCUGUCGUUGGCUAGGUCUGAUUGUCGUGUUGCCUGCGCAAAGUGGGUCCGACAGUGGCUUGGCUACGGUUGGUGCAUGCAGUGGCAUUUCUUUGUCAGUUGGUGUGGGCCGCAUAGUCUGUGGUGUAGUGGUAGAUUAGCUACCCGACCCGUCUUGAAACACGGACCAAGGAGUUCAACAUGCACGCGAGUCAAUGGGCACUUCCGAAACCCAAAGGCGCAGUGAAAGUGAAGCUACACGUUGUCUUCGGGCAGCGGGUAGUGUGGUGAGAUCCUGCUGUUACUCGCAUCUGCACUUCUGUGUACUUGUUGGCACAGGGCGCAAAGAGCGGUAGGCGCAUCACCGGCCCGUCUCAUGAUGUGGUCAUUGGUAACCAUUCCAGUGCGUCAUCGUGGCGGAGCAUGAGCGUGCAUGUUGAGACCCGAAAGAUGGUGAACUAUGCUUGCGUAGGUUGAAGCCAGAGGAAACUCUGGUGGAAGACCGCAGCGAUUCUGACGUGCAAAUCGAUCGUCAAACGUGAGUAUAGGGGCGAAAGACUAAU
rnacentral:rRNA from 1 species